rnacentral:tRNA from 1 species
GAUAGUGUAGCUCAGUGGUAGAGCUCAUGCCUAGCAUGCAUGAGUUCCUGGGCUCAAUCCCCAGUACCUCCA